UACGUAGGGGGCGAGCGUUGUCCGGAGUUACUGGGCGUAAAGCGCACGCAGGCGGUCUGCUAAGUUUGGAGUGACAGUUGGUGGCUUAACUGCCAAAGUGCUUCGAAAACUGACAGACUUGAGGGCUUCAGAGGGACACGGAAUUCCGGGUGGAGUGGUGAAAUGCGUAGAGAUCCGGAGGAACACCAAAGGCGAAGGCAGUGUCCUGGGGAGUACCUAACGCUCAGGUGCGAAAGCCAGGGGAGCGAACGGG
rnacentral:rRNA from 1 species